ACACAUGUACUGGACUUAAUAAACGUCUAAAAUUGGUUCACCCAGGGCGAGGCUUAGCCAUUGCACUCCGGCUGAGCUGACCUCUGCGAAUUCCCCAAAUGUGGGAAUCUCGACUGCAUAAUUUGUGGUAGUGGGGGACUGCGUUCGCUCUCCCCUG